AGAGUUUGAUCCUGGCUCAGGAUGAACGCUAGCGGCAGGCUUAACACAUGCAAGUCGAGGGGUAACGAUAGUGCUUGCACUAGGCGACGACCGGCGCACGGGUGAGUAACACGUAUGCAACCUACCUUUAACAGGGAGAUAGCCCAGAGAAAUUUGGAUUAAUAUCCCAUAAUAUUAAGAUUUGGCAUCAGGUUUUAAUUAAAGCUCCGGCGGUUAAAGAUGGGCAUGCGGGACAUUAGCUAGUUGGUAAGGUAACUGCUUACCAAGGCAACGAUGUCUAUGGGGUCUUAAAGGAUGGUCCCACACACUGGUACUGAGACACGGACCAGACUCCUACGGGAGGCAGCAGUGAGGAAUAUUGGUCAAUGGACGCAAGUCUGAACCAGCCAUGCCGCGUGAAGGAAGACGGCCCUACGGGUUGUAAACUUCUUUUAUAUGGGAAUAAUGUGAGCUACGUGUAGCUUUUUGAAGGUACCAUAUGAAUAAGCAUCGGCUAACUCCGUGCCAGCAGCCGCGGUAAUACGGAGGAUGCAAGCGUUAUCCGGAUUUAUUAGGUUUAAAGGGUGCGUAGGCGGGAUAAUAAGUCAGUGGUGAAAGCCUGCAGCUUAACUGUAGAAUUGCCAUUGAAACUGUUGUUCUUGAGUAUAGUUGAGGUGGGCGGAAUGUGUAAUGUAGCGGUGAAAUGCAUAGAUAUUACACAGAACACCGAUUGCGAAGGCAGCUCACUAAACUAUAACUGACGCUAAUGCACGAAAGCGUGGGGAGCGAACAGGAUUAGAUACCCUGGUAGUCCACGCCGUAAACGAUGAUUACUCGUUGUGCGCGAUACACUGCGCGUGACUGAGCGAAAGCAUUAAGUAAUCCACCUGGGGAGUACGUUGGCAACAAUGAAACUCAAAGGAAUUGACGGGGGCCCGCACAAGCGGAGGAACAUGUGGUUUAAUUCGAUGAUACGCGAGGAACCUUACCUGGGCUUAAAUGUAGCGUGACUUUUCUAGAAAUAGAUUUUCUCUUCGGAGCAAGUUACAAGGUGCUGCAUGGCUGUCGUCAGCUCGUGCCGUGAGGUGUCGGGUUAAGUCCCAUAACGAGCGCAACCCCUAUCGUUAGUUGCUAGCAGGUAAUGCUGAGGACUCUAACGAGACUGCCACUGUAAGGUGAGAGGAAGGUGGGGAUGACGUCAAGUCAGCACGGCCCUUAUGUCCAGGGCUACACACGUGUUACAAUGGUCGAUACAAAGAGCAGCUACAUAGCGAUAUGAUGCCAAUCUCAAAAGUCGAUCUCAGUUCGGAUCGAAGUCUGCAACUCGACUUCGUGAAGCUGGAUUCGCUAGUAAUCGUAUAUCAGCAAUGGUACGGUGAAUACGUCCCCGGGCCUUGUACACACCGCCCGUCAAGCCACGGAAGUUGGGGGUACCUGAAGUUCGUAACCGCAAGGAUCGACCUAGGGUAAAACCGAUAACUGGGGCUAAGUCGGAACAAGGUA
rnacentral:rRNA from 1 species